GACGAACGCUGGCGGCGUGCUUAACACAUGCAAGUCGAACGGAAAGGCCCUGCUUUUGUGGGGUUCUCGAUUGGCGAACGGGUGAGUAACACGUGAGUAACCUGCCCUUGACUUUGGGAUAACUUCAGGAGACUGGGGCUAUUAUCGGAUAGGAGCUCCUGCUGCAUGUUGGGGGUUGGUAAGUUUCGGCGGUUGUGGAUGGACUCGCGGCUUAUCAGCUUGUUGGUGGGGUAGUGGCUUACCAAGGCUUUGACGGGUAGCCGGCCUGAGAGGGGGACCAGGCACAUUGGGCCUGAGGUAGGGCGCAGACGCCUACGGGAGGCAACAGGGGGGAAUAUUGCACAAUGGGCGGAAGCCAGAUACAGCAACGCCGGGUGCGGGAUGACGGCCUUCGGGUUGUAAACCGCUGUCGCCGGUGACGAAGCGUGAGUGACGGUAAUGGGUAAAGAAGCACCGGCUAACUACGUG
rnacentral:rRNA from 1 species